GACGGAGGAUGCAAGCGUUAUCCGGAAUGAUUGGGCGUAAAGCGUCUGCAGGUGGCGGUUCAAGUCUGCUGUCAAAGACCGGGGCUUAACUUCGGAAAGGCAGUGGAAACUGAACAGCUAGAGUAUGGUAGGGGCAGAGGGAAUUCCUGGUGUAGCGGUGAAAUGCGUAGAGAUCAGGAAGAACAUCGGUGGCGAAGGCGCUCUGCUGGACCAUAACUGACACUCAGGGACGAAAGCUAGGGGAGCGAAUGGG
rnacentral:rRNA from 1 species